rnacentral:rRNA from 1 species
AAAUUGAAGAGUUUGAUCAUGGCUCAGAUUGAACGCUGGCGGCAGGCCUAACACAUGCAAGUCGAACGGUAACAGGAAGCAGCUUGCUGCUUCGCUGACGAGUGGCGGACGGGUGAGUAAUGUCUGGGAAACUGCCUGAUGGAGGGGGAUAACUACUGGAAACGGUGGCUAAUACCGCAUAACGUCGCAAGACCAAAGAGGGGAACCUUCGGGCCUCUUGCCAUCAGAUGUGCCCAGAUGGGAUUAGCUUGUUGGUGAGGUAACGGCUCACCAAGGCGACGAUCCCUAGCUGGUCUGAGAGGAUGACCAGCCACACUGGAACUGAGACACGGUCCAGACUCCUACGGGAGGCAGCAGUGGGGAAUAUUGCACAAUGGGCGCAAGCCUGAUGCAGCCAUGCCGCGUGUAUGAAGAAGGCCUUCGGGUUGUAAAGUACUUUCAGCGGGGAGGAAGGUGUUG